rnacentral:rRNA from 1 species
UACGGAGGGGGCUAGCGUUGUUCGGAAUUACUGGGCGUAAAGAGCACGUAGGCGGUGUAGCAAGUUAGAGGUGAAAGGCCUGGGCUCAACCUGGGAACUGCCUUUAAUACUGCUACACUAGAGUCUGGGAGAGGGUAGCGGAAUUCCAAGUGUAGAGGUGAAAUUCGUAGAUAUUUGGAAGAACACCGGUGGCGAAGGCGGCUACCUGGACCAGUACUGACGCUGAGGUGCGAAAGCGUGGGGAGCAAAC